UUUCUUAAAAAAAAAAAAAAAUAGAUUAGAUCUAAAUUUCUGCAAUAGAAAUUAAGCAACCUCUUUAAAAAAAAAAACGAUAAGAAAGAGAAAGAGGAGGAGGGAAGAAGCAAUUGUCCCCGCGGGAGCAGACGGUCUGUCUUCAUCGCCAACCAACCAACAAUCAUCAUCGUCGUCAGAUUCAUCACUCUUUUGAUUCAAAGUUUCAAUCUUUCUUCUUUCUUUUUUGUUUUUUGGUUUUCAGCCAUGGAGGUACCAACUACUUCAUGGGAUUCCCUUCGCAAACAGGUUUCAAUUAAUUUUCUCUCAUUCUCAUGUUUUUUAUGUUGUAAAUUAUGCUAAUUGAUAUGAAUAUGCACAAUUUGAAUCCCCAUGUGUUAAAGUUUCGAUUUUUCUUUCUGGGGUUUUCUCAAUUUGUCUGUGACGGGGAAGGAAUUUAUCAUUGGAUGAGCUUCCGCUCUUUUGCUUUCUCUGAUCCUAUCAUAAUUUAGUGCAUGUUUGGUUCAUGGAUGAUAAAAAUUGAUUUUGAAUGAAUCUAUUUUGUAAAAUUGAUUUUUACUUAAAAUGACUCGAAUGUAAAAUGAUUUAUGUUUGAACACAUCUACCUAAAGUUAACAAUAAAUUUCGUGUUAACAAUAAAUGUACUGUAAAAAAAACAAUAAAUUUUAGGGUAAAAAUCAAGUUUAGACUCAAUGAUUACAAAUUCUAUAUUCAAGUUAAAAUCAACUAUGGAGGCAAAAUUAAUUAUUAAUAUCUAUGAAGCACGGAUACAGACACGGACACGACACAUACUCUAACACACCGACACAGCUAAUAAUUUAAAAAAAAUCACAUAAUUCAGUGUAAUUACAAGUGUUGGUGUCUUGUACACGACACAUGUCCGACACAGGGACACGCCUAAUCCGAGGAGUGUCCGUGCUUCAUAGAUUAUUAUGAGUAUUAGAAAAGUUUGAUGAGGUCUUGCAAAAAUUAGUUUUGAAUGAAUUGAUUUUGGUUGAAAUUGAACGAAAUGUAACUUGUUAAGUGAUUUUAUGGUGGAUACAUACUGUCUCUUACGUAAUAGUGAGUGGCACGGAACAUUUAAGACUUAAUUUCAGGGCAAAAGCUUAAAAUUCUAGUUUAAGUUGGAAUUCAUUAUGGAUGCAAAAUCAGUUAUUCUUGAGAACACUGUGAUAUGUCCAAGUCAAUUGUAUGCUUUUAGAAUUCAUUUUACCUCCUCCAAGAGUGAAACUUAGACUCGUUGCUUAAGGGGUUGAAUUGUGAAUAUUUGAAAUGUUUUGGAUGAGAAUAUGUUCCUUGGUUUAGGUUCAUUUGAUUUGAUGUAGAAAUGCCAGGUUAGAAGUGUACCUAAUUUUUGUCUGCGAAAUAAAUAAGGUUCUUUGCAUUGUGUACCUACAGAGAGUUUAUUUGAGUCAUACUAAUAUUGUUUAAAAGUAAAUGAUCAGGGUUAUUGUAAUUAGACGCAAAUUUUGCUGCGUGUAUGAUAAUCUAGUGAUCAUAGAUGGUGUAGGAAUUUGGUUUUUUGAUAUACAAGAUGUAAAUAUAAAAUGAUGAGUAGAAUCUCUUUAGAAACUAAGACGUGAUUUUGAGUGACUAAAAUUAUAAGUUGUAAAUUGUCACUCAAAAUAAUAUAGUCUACAGACAACUUUCAUGCAUUGGCUAGAAACUUUAUAGGAUUGUAUGAGUACUAGUCUAGUACCCGUGCGCAUACGCACGGGUGGAUAUCGUUGAUGAUUUACAACUCAAUACAUCAACACAUGAUUAGCUUCAAAUUACCCAAGACAAUUGAUCAAAUUACAUAAGCUAAGGACAAAAUGGUGUCAAAGCGAUGAUUGCAUUAGUUUGACAUUGACCAUUUAUGUUUGGAAUGUUUUUUUUGUCAGUAUUUGAUUAUUAGUUAGACAUUGGUUGGGUAGUCAGUCAUUCAGUGAACCCUUUAUAGUUGUUUUAUUACGACUUAUUAUUUUAUUCGCUUGAUGGUUUCUGUGAUAAAAUACAUUAUUAUCCAUAUACAAUUAUACAUUCAAACAGAUUAAUAAUUGUAACUUGAAUUUUAUUGCAUUGAUAAUGAACAAAGAAUAUAGCAUGAAUUCUAUAAUACAACUCUCUUUGUUCUAAUUAAGAAGUAUUGUUUUAUUGUACUAAGUUAAUAGACAUGUGGAGUCACAAACUGGAAACCUCACUUCCCUUUCGCUGAAGCAAUAGUUGUUUAUUUUGUGAAAAUUGACUGGAAGACAUUUAAGACUGCAUCAAAUUAUUCUACUCACAAUUCAUGUUUAAAAAAUUGAUUGAUACCUUUUCCAUUAUUACAUAUAAGAUUACAAACAUUCUCUUUAUUUGCCAAUCACAAUGCUAGAGUGUGUGUAGUAUUAUGUCUGGCCCAUAUUUAUGUAAUAAAGCUAAAGUAAAUUUUGUUCACGACUUCAUGCCUUGUUUAAUAAGUUUCUGAUCAUUCUUAUCAAGGUUUAAUUGUUUUUGCUUUUCAGUAUAAAUAGUAAGAAGGAAAGAAAAACCACCUCAUUGAUCUAUUUAUUUAAUAAGUUUCUGCAUGCUUUUAUGUACCUUUUUGGAUUUUUGGUGUUGUAAAUCAUCAAUCAUUCCUAAAUAGCAUGCAAGCACCGGUAGAAAUUUUGUUGGUUUUCUUUUUUAAAUUGGUGUUUAAAUAGAUUUCCAUUUUAUGUUAUUGACCCUUAAUUUUAUGAUGAUUCUGCAUGUUAAACUAUAUUUACAAAUUUCAAAAGAAAAUGUAAAUUUUUGGGAAAUAUUCUAAUUGUUGUAUUCUUUUGUUGUGCCUUCAUGUUGCUCGUGUGAUUCCUUUAAUGCUCCCAUGAGAUGUUGUGAAAACCUGUAGUUUGGAGACAAAGGAGUGGUAAGAAAUUGCAUGAAUAAACUAUUAGUUUGGAGACAAAAGAGUGGUUGGAGAUGGCAAGAGUUCAAGCAGGAUGGAGAACGAAAGUGAAUGGUAUUAUAUGAGGAAGGCUUAUUUAGCAAGUGGAUGAAAAAAAGACAACCAUUGCAAGUGGAUGUUAAUUAAUUUGAAAAAUGCCCAAUGCGGGAAACCUACCAUAUCAUUUUACAUACAAAAACAAGAAUAUUAUAAUUUAUUUGUGUUUGAACAGUGGUAUUUUGAGAUGACUGUUGUUAAGAUUAUUGAUUUACUAGAGUUGCAAUGAAAAGCAUGCAAUUCUAGUUUUUUGACUCUCAAUAGACUUUUACAAUCUUCAAGCAUGCAAUUCAUGUAACAUUUUUUAAUAUAGUUUUCUUGGAUGCCGAGUCCCGGUGUAAUUGAAUACUGGUUGGUAUAUUUUUUUUAUAUAUAUUAUUUACAUUUGAAUAGAAGGUAAGCGGAUAACAUUCAUGAACUUAAUUACUAUGCAUGACCUUUUAAACUCUAUGUAGAAGGACAACAACCUCUGAUAUUAAGA
rnacentral:lncRNA from 1 species